rnacentral:rRNA from 1 species
AUUGAACGCUGGCGGCAGGCCUAACACAUGCAAGUCGAGCGAGCGGCGGACGGGUGAGUAAUGUAUGGGGACUGCCCGAUAGAGGGGGAUAACUACUGGAAACGGUGGCUAAUACCGCAUACUAUCGGAUAACCCAUAUGGGAUUAGCGAGUAGGUGGGGUAAAGGCUAACCUAGGCGACGAUCUCUAGCUGGUCUGAGAGGAGGAUCAGCAACUCUGGGACGGGGCACCGGCCCAGCCUCCUCCGGGGGCAGCAGUGGGGAAUAUUGCACAAUGGCGGCAAGCCUGAUGCAGCCAUGCCGCGUGUAUGAAGAAGCCCUUAGGUUGGUAAACUACUUUCAGCGGGGAGGCGUUACCCGCAGAAGAAGCAACGGCUAACUCCGUGCCAGCAGCCGCGGUAAUAC